rnacentral:rRNA from 1 species
AGAGUUUGAUCCUGGCUCAGGACGAACGCUGGCGGCGCGCCUAACACAUGCAAGUCGAACGAGAGAUGAGGAGCUUGCUCUUCAAAUCGAGUGGCGAACGGGUGAGUAACGCGUGAGGAACCUGCCUCAAAGAGGGGGACAACAGUUGGAAACGACUGCUAAUACCGCAUAAGCCCACGGCUCGGCAUCGAGCAGAGGGAAAAGGAGCAAUCCGCUUUGAGAUGGCCUCGCGUCCGAUUAGCUAGUUGGUGAGGUAACGGCCCACCAAGGCGACGAUCGGUAGCCGGACUGAGAGGUUGAACGGCCACAUUGGGACUGAGACACGGCCCAGACUCCUACGGGAGGCAGCAGUGGGGAAUAUUGCACAAUGGGGGAAACCCUGAUGCAGCGACGCCGCGUGGAGGAAGAAGGUCUUCGGAUUGUAAACUCCUGUUGUUGAGGAAGAUAAUGACGGUACUCAACAAGGAAGUGACGGCUAACUACGUGCCAGCAGCCGCGGUAAAACGUAGGUCACAAGCGUUGUCCGGAAUUACUGGGUGUAAAGGGAGCGCAGGCGGGAGAACAAGUUGGAAGUGAAAUCCAUGGGCUCAACCCAUGAACUGCUUUCAAAACUGUUUUUCUUGAGUAGUGCAGAGGUAGGCGGAAUUCCCGGUGUAGCGGUGGAAUGCGUAGAUAUCGGGAGGAACACCAGUGGCGAAGGCGGCCUACUGGGCACCAACUGACGCUGAGGCUCGAAAGUGUGGGUAGCAAACAGGAUUAGAUACCCUGGUAGUCCACACCGUAAACGAUGAUUACUAGGUGUUGGAGGAUUGACCCCUUCAGUGCCGCAGUUAACACAAUAAGUAAUCCACCUGGGGAGUACGACCGCAAGGUUGAAACUCAAAGGAAUUGACGGGGGCCCGCACAAGCGGUGGAGCAUGUGGUUUAA